GGAUGUGAGGGCGAUCUGGCUGCGACAUCUGUCACCCCAUUGAUCACCAGGGUUGAUUCGGCUGAUCUGGCUGGCUAGGCGGGUGUCCCCCUCCUCCCUCAUCGAUCCACGUGCGUCCCUCCCGAAGCUGCGUGCUCGGUCGAAGAGGACGACUCCCCCACGCCCCGCCCAGGAGAGGACCAGUCUUCAGUCAAGGGUAUACGAGUAGCUGCGCUCCCCUGCUAGAACCUCCAAACAAGCUCUCAAGGAAUUGAACCAGUGACAUUUUGGUGCAUGGGUUGACACCCAACCAACUGAGCCACAUUGGCCAGGGCCACUUGU
rnacentral:snRNA from 1 species